UCUCUUGGACUGUCUGGGUUCGGGUUAAUGAACCUGCUCCAGCCUGGCCCAAAUGGGAGGCGACAAGAAUCCCAAGCCAUCCCUAACCGCGUGGCCGUUUGGUAGGCGAACAGAGGGACAAGAAACAUCCUCAUUAAUGGCUAGUUGUCAACCAUUCAUGGGAAAUAGCAAGGUUGGGAAAACUGAAGGGUCACGAGUAAAUAGAAACGGCGCACGCACGUGAACUAAGUAGAAGCACCACAAAAUAACACGAGAUCCUCACUUCAAAUUUCAUUUUUAUAAAGCACGAAUGGUGACAAGGGUGAUACCAACGAUGGAGUUUCGAGUAGCGACGCCCAACAAUAGUAAACAACAAACACAACAAGCAUAGGGAGAAAGUAAUAACUUGUGAAACCACGACUGCGAUAAUGGCUUGGUCCUUCUCCGCAUUAUCUCCCCCUCCUUCCGUGUUCAGUAGUGGUGGAUUGAGAUAAUUAGAGUUUCGAUUGGAACUCUAGUAAACUGUGUGAGAUGAUUUCGUGAGACUGAGGAAAAAAACUAUAUGAAAACUCCCUGGUUUUUCUCUCUUUUUCUUCUUUGAAUCUCGUUAGGGUUUUUUCUCACUUUGCCGUCGUAUUGAAUUUUUAGGGUUUCUUAUUUUAAACAGUCCCCUUCAAUGAGGAGAAAGUUCUCCCUUUUAUAUUCAUCCUUUUAGGGUUUGAAUUGGCCGUUGAGACCAAAGGAGUAUCGGAAUUGGGAGUGCUUGCGGUGUUGCCAGUUGUCUACCCUAUUUUGAUGUUUAUCCUGAAAAAGGAAGGAGGGGUGUAUAAUCCGAAGUAUGGUUGCAAUCUGGGUGCAUUGAGGGAGUUUGCAUCUGUACACAACCCAAAGAAUCAGACUCCAUAUUUGGUCUUUGUUGGUGAAUGCUAUUCUGGGAAGUGACCCCACUAGAAGAGGCUUCAUAGAAUUGCUUCAGAGUUGCACGUUGCUCCUCGAGGGCAUAAGGAUGAUCAAAAUCACCAUCUUCUAGACAACUAAUUUUUCUCUUUCCCACUGAUUGCUUUAACAUUUGCCUUUGUAUCCUUUGUUCACUCAAGACCAAAGCAGCUGAAUCAAAAUCAUUACAGCCAGCAAGAUCAGGAGACUUCCUAAGACGUUUAUUUCUUCGUACAGAUGCACCCUGGGCAUUUCUCAAUCAGAAGCAAUAACACGACUGUUUGGAGGCCCAUCCUUACCAACAACAUUAUGCAUAGGCUGCUGGUUCAAAAAUGGCGGUCGGGCGGACUCGAAGGAGAAGUAGCACAAGAUCAUGGAGCAAAAUGAAGCAUCAAUUGAACUCGCAGCGGGAGCUUGAUCGGGGAACUCAACUCAAUGAAAAUAGGAUGAUGUAAGGGCCUAGGAAACAAGUACAAGAUUUCACGCCUCUUCUCUCCUCUUGUUGAUUUUGAAAAUACCAAAAAUUGAUUUUUGUAGUUCACACCAUGCCAACAUUCACUUACGGAUCUAGAGUCAUGGCAUUGAUUGGUGAGUUGUUAUACGCGCGACGGUUCGCGUUUCAUUUUCAUCUCUGCACUUUGUUGUUUCAGAAAAUAGCAAGCGGUACCGGCGGUAAACCUCUUCUUUGGAUGUUGUAGCAAUGCAAACAAGUGCAAGGAAGUGUAUGAGGCCGCGAGUAUCUUCGAUUCUGGGGUUUCCAGAAGAGGAAUUGAAGACAGAAGUUGAGAAUGGAAAAGAUUCACUUUGUUCCUCUUUGGAGACUCUGCUUGAACUCCACAUUGCUAAUCUACCCUCAAAUAUAAUUAUGAUCAUCAGCUUUUAAAGUUUAGACUUUUGAAAUUAUAAACUUUCCCUUUCAACUUCUUUAUCAAGUGUAACAUAGAUGCUGAGCCCUGUACGACACUCUGACUUCCAUAUGUUGAGUUCAACAGACUAGAAUCUUUCAUUAUUAUGAGUUUUUUCACCAAAUCCAAAGGUAACCAAAGCAUGAGCAGGACGCCCAAAAGAUGAUCUUCCAACAUGAGGGGCAUAAGAAUGUUGUUGUCCACCAUGUAACGAUUGAUUGUAGUAAUCAAUGGACUGUUGACUUUCAGCAGCAUAAUUGUUUAAGAAAUUCUUUUUUUGUUCAUCAAACUGUGUAUUUGAACAAUUAAAAUGUUGACCAAAGUUCCCACUAGGGGCAAAGCAUUGUGGUUCAACAGUUCCAAUUAGCUAAACCGUGAUCAUGGUUAAAUUUAUUAUUCAAUGAAACUGAUCCAAGUGAUGGUUAAAUUUA